UGCCAGCAGCCGCGGUAAUACAGAGGGUGCAAGCGUUAAUCGGACUUACUGGGCGUAAAGGGCGCGUAGGUGGUUGAUUAAGUUGGUGGUGAAAUCCCUGGGCUCAACCUAGGACUUGCCACCAAAACUGAUAGACUAGAGUAUGGUAGAGGGAAGUGGAAUUUCCGGUGUAGCGGUGAAAUGCGUAGAUAUCGGAAGGAACACCAGUGGCGAAGGCGUCUUCCUGGCUCGAUACUGACGCUGAGGUGCGAAAGCGUGGGGAGCAAACAGGAUUAGAUA
rnacentral:rRNA from 1 species